UAAAAAUCUGGAAAUAUUGUUCUACGAAAAUCAUUUGGUGUACUCACUUUCUUGAACGAAGUCCAUUUAUGGCCUACAGACUAAACUUUGAGUCCUGCCCUCCAGUUUCGAAACAGAAAACUUGAAGACUGGAUUUAGUGCCCUGCCCUCCAGUUUCUAAGCUGUAAUCUGAAAGGAUUGUUCUACGAAUCUGUUUUUUUGUCUCUUACGUGUUCAAUAUGGUCAUCAUGGAUAAACGAUACUAUAACAUCUUGAGCUUUCAAGUCUAUCUUUUCAAAGAUUCGACAUCCAACAUCGUCCGUAGGUUCUGACUCAGAAACAGCUUUUAAACAACCUGGAGAUGAUAGAUGUCUUUUGACACGAAAUUUCCAAUUGUCGAAAUUAUCACCAGCAAACUGGACGAUUCCUGUUAAUUUUUCCGUGGAGCCCAUAACCUAGUGAUAUUUAUGCUCAGUGGACAGAUUUUAGUUAAAAGACAAUAAAAAUUGUAUCUUUAUUGUUCAAAGGAAUUUUUCAGAAAGACAAAAGAUUUUUUUUUAUA